AAUAAAAAAGACCGAUACAAGCCCGUUCAACAUAAAGAACUUAAAGUUGGAGAUAUAGUACUUUUGAAGGAACCCUUAGCUAAACCCUGUAAUUAUCCAAUGGGACGCAUUAAGGAAAUUAUAACAAAUAUAAACAAUGAAGUUACGGCUGUGAAAGUCUUUAAAGGGAAAACUGGAGAAAUAUUAAAACGGCACUCUAGUUCUAUAAUUCCUCUUUUGUCAGUCCCAGGCGAUGAUGAAAAACAAGGUGUACCAGACACUAAGAAUGUUCAUAUUGUAUCAUCACGUCCUAAAAGAAAAGCAGCUAUACAGGGUGCUGCCAAAAUUCACCAAAUUUUGGCUGAAUCUGAUUAGGGAUUUUUCAUUACUGUUAAUAUUGUUUUAUUUGGAUUCUUUUGGUUGGUUUUUAUUUUUGGGUAAUUUUCAUGUAAAUACAUUUACAUUAUAUACUUUUGAUUUCAUACUAAAUCAAAAUCUCUCCCCUGGAGUGUAGAAAAAUAUGUAUUUAAUUCCUUUAAUUUUACUAGUUCUAAAAAAAAAUAUGCAUUAUCACUACGGCAUCAGUAUUAAAGUACUUUACCUAUGUAAUUACUUAACUAGUCAAUUUUAAAAUUAACGUAAUUUUCAUAAAUAGCUUUUCUCGUCUAAUCCUUUUAAAUGGUUAUUGCCGUAAACAAACCACCAAUUUUAAUGCGGAAAAUGUUUUCUUUGUUUACUGAGUGACGAAGAACCGGCAGUACCUGUCAAGAACUUAACAACAGCAGUCUUCAGUGGAAGUUCCAGUCAUACUUACCGUGGAUUAAACUUUGAAGUGAUUUCGUUACCUAUGGAUCUUAUCAUUUGCAUCACGGUCAUGUGUUACGCAAAUAUGGAAUAAUUCUAUCAAGUUACCAUUGGACCCGGACCUGCCAAAGGGGAACCCGCUUACCUAUCUCCUAAAUCACACUAAUAAAAACAAGAUGUGUUUGUAUACUUUCGGAUUCAUUUCAUUGGCCUCCGGAUGAUGCAGCCCAAGUACUCACUUCCUAUCCUUAUGGUUCACGUCAAGUGUUUGUUUAUCAUUCAGAAGUCUAUUUUUGUGGUUCAAUGAUAUACAUUACAAUUAAAUUCAUUGUAACUUA